rfam:Streptomyces sp. 150FB scaffold00001, whole genome shotgun sequence.
GGAGAGGUACCCGAAGCGGCCCAACGGGGUUCCGAGGCAACUCGGACCGGGUGAAAGCCCUCGCAGGUUCGAAUCCUGCCCUCUCCG